GAGAUAGCUGGUUCUCCCCGAAAUAGCUUUAGGGCUAGCCUCAGGGAAAAGAUUGCAGGCGGUAGAGCACUGAUCAGGAGAGGGACCUACCCGGUUACCAAACCCAGUCAAACUCCGAAUGGCUGCAAUCAUACCUGGGAGUCAGACUGCGACUAAUAAGGGCCGCAGUCAAAAGGGAAACAGCCCAGACCAUCAGCUAAGGUCCCCAAUGCCGUGCUAAGUGGCGAAGGAUGUGGCAUUUCAUAAACAACCAGGAUGUUGGCUCAGAAGCAGCCACCAUUUAAAGAGUGCGUAAUAGCUCACUGGUCGAGAGACGCUGCGCCGAAAAUGUCCGGGGCUCAAGCACGGAACCGAAGCUAUGGCAUGAUAGCAAUAUCAUGGGUAGGGGAGCGUUCUUAUAAGGAAGAAGCAUGACCGGAAGGACAUGUGGACAAAUAAGAAGUGAGAAUGCCGGUAUGAGUAUCGAAAAGAAAGGUGAGAAUCCUUUCCACCGAAAGCCCGAGGGUUCCUGAGCAACGAUCGUCGACUCAGGGUAAGUCGGGACCUAAGCCGAGGCGAAAAGCGUAGGCGAUGGACAACAGGUUGAAAUUCCUGUACCGGAUCAAGUCGAUUGAGCGAAGGAGCGACGCAGGAGGGCACAUGAUCGCGCGGGUGGAAGAGCGCGUCCAAGUGCGUAUGUUGCAGCAGAGGAAAACCCCUGCAGCUGAAAGCAGAGACAUGAAGGGGAGUUAAAGGAAACUUUGACGAACUCAUGAAUCCCACACUGCCAAGAAAAACUUCUAGCGAGACAAGAUCCGCCCGUACCGUAAACCGACACAGGUAGGCGGGGAGAGAAUCCUAAGGUGCGCGGGAAAACCCUCGUUAAGGAACUCGGCAAAUUGCAUCCGUAACCUAGGGAGAAGGAUGGCCCCCGGUCAGUGAAGAGCAGAAACGCUCAGAGCUAAAAGGGGCGGCAGAAAAGAGGCCCAAGCAACUGUUUACCAAAAACACAGGUGCCUGCGAAAGCGAAAGCUGAAGUAUAGGUGCUGACGCCUGCCCGGUGCCGGAAGGUUAAGGAGAGAAGUUAGCGAAAGCGAAGCAUCGAACUGAAGCCCCGGUGAACGGCGGCCGUAACUAUAACGGUCCUAAGGUAGCGAAAUUCCUUGUCGGGUAAGUUCCGACCCGCAUGAAAGGCGUAAUGAUUUGGGCACUGUCUCAACGAGGGGCCCGGUGAAAUUGAAAUACCUGUGAAGAUGCAGGUUACCCGCGACUGGACAGAAAGACCCCAUGGAGCUUCACUGCAGCUUGAGAUUGAAUCCCGGUGACAGAUGCACAGGAUAGGUGGGAGGCGCCGAAGCAUUGCCCUAGGGCGGUGCGGAGCCGAUGUUGGGAUACCACCCUUCUGUUGCUGAGAUUCUAACGCGAGGAGUAACGACCCUGCGGACCCUCUCAGGCAGGCGGUUUGACUGGGGCGGUCGCCUCCGAAAGAGUAACGGAGGCGCCCAAAGGUUCCCUCAGGCCGGACAGAAACCGGCCGAAGAGUGCAAAGGCAGAAGGGAGCUUGACUGCGAGACCAACAAGUCGAGCAGAGACGAAAGUCGGGCUUAGUGAUCCGGUGGUACUGAGUGGAAAGGCCAUCGCUCAACGGAUAAAAGCUACCCUGGGGAUAACAGGC
rnacentral:rRNA from 1 species